rnacentral:rRNA from 1 species
AACGAAUGCUAGCGGCAGGCUUAACACAUGCAAGUCGAACGGUUUGGUCUCCUCGGAGACCAGAUAGUGGCGAACGGGUGAGUAACACAUGGGAACGUGCCCUUAGGUCAGGAAUAACGUUCGGGAAACUGAAGGUAUACCUGAUACCUUCCAUGUCAAUUGGCAUUGAAGAAAGGCUCGCAAGAGUCGCCUAUGGAUCGGCCCGUGCUCGAUUAGACUGGUUGGUGAGGUAAAAGCUCACCAAAUCUACGAUCGAUAGCUGGUCUGAGAGGAUGAUCAGCCACACCUGGGACUGAGAUACGGCCCAGGACUCC